rnacentral:rRNA from 1 species
GAGGUGAAGGAGGCUUUAAAAAGGAUGAAAGGAGGCAAGGCGAUGGGCCCUGAUUGUAUCCCCAUUGAGGUGUGGAAAGGUCUCGGGGACAUAGCGAUAGUAUGGCUAACCAAGCUUUUCAACCUCAUUUUUCGGGCAAACAAGAUGCCAGAAGAAUGGAGACGGAGUAUAUUAGUACCAAUCUUCAAGAACAAGGGGGAUGUUCAGAGUUGUACUAAUUACCGUGGAAUUAAGCUGAUGAGCCAUACAAAGAAGCUAUGGGAGAGAGUCAUUGAGCACCGCUUAAGAAGAAUGACAAGCGUGACCAAAAAUCAGUUUGGUUUCAUGCCUGGGUGGUCGACCAUGGAAGCCAUUUUCUUGGUACGACAACUUAUGGAGAGAUAUAGGGAGCAUAAGAAGGACUUGCAUAUGGUGUUCAUUGACUUGGAGAAGGCCUAUGAUAAGAUACCGUGGAAUGUCAUGUGGUGGGCCUUGGAGAAACACAAAGUCCCAGCAAAGUACAUUACCCUCAUCAAGGACAUGUACAAUAAUGUUGUGACAAGUGUUCGAACAAGUGAUGUCGACACCGAUGACUUCCCGGUUAAGAUAGGACUGCAUCAGGGGUUAGCUUUGAGCCCUUAUCUUUUUGCAUUGGUGAUGGAUGAGGUCACAAGGGGUAUACAAGGAGAUAUCCCAUGGUGUAUGCUCUUUGCGGAUGAUGUGGUGCUAGUUGACGAUAGUCGGAUGGGGGUAAAUAGGAAGUUAGAGUUAUGGAGACAAACCUUGGAAUCGAAAGGGUUUAGGCUUAGUAGAACUAAAACCGAGUACAUGAUGUGCGGUUUCAGUACUACUAGCUGUGAGGAGGAGGAGGUUAGCCUUGAUGGCCAGGUGGUACCUCGGAAGGACACCUUUCGGUAUUUGGGGUCAAUGUUGCAGGAGGAUGGGGGUAUUGAUGAAGAUGUGAACCAUCGAAUCAAAGCCGGAUGGAUGAAGUGGCGCCAAGCUUCUGGCAUUCUCUGUGACAAGAGAGUGCCACAAAAGUUAAAAGGCAAGUUCUACAGGAUGGCAGUUCGACCCGCAAUGUUGUAUGGCGCGGAGUGUUGGCCGACUAAAAGGCGACAUGUUCAACAGUUAGGUGUGGCGGAGAUGCAUAUGUUGAGAUGGAUGUGUGGCCACACGAGGAAGGAUCGAGUUCGGAAUGAUGAUAUACGAGAUAGAGUUGGGGUAGCACCAAUUGAGGAGAAGCUUGUCCAACAUCGUUUGAGAUGGUUUGGGCAUAUUCAGCACAGGCCUCCAGAAGCUCCAGUGCAUAGCGGACGGCUAAUGCGUGCGGAGAAUGUCAAGAGAGGGCAGGGUCGACCGAUUUUGACAUGGGAG